rnacentral:ncRNA from 1 species
UAUAUUGCGAGUUUGAUCCUAGCUCAGAAUGAACGCUAGAAAUAUACAUUACACAUGCAAAUUUAUGAUUAUAUCAUAGUGAAUAGGUGAGGAUAUAUAAAUUUUUAAUUUUAAAUAGAUUAUAAUAUAUAAUAAUCUAUAAGCGCAUUUAUUUAUAUAAUUGUACUAUAUUAAAAAUUAUUAUUGUUUAAAAUAAAAUUUAUAUUUGAUUAACUAGUUGGUAAAAUAAAAGCCUACCAAGGUUAUGAUCAAAAAUUGGUUUUAAAGAAUGUACAAUCACAUUAGGAUUGAAAUAAAGCCUAAAUUUUUUUUAAAUCAGCAGUGAGGAAUAUUUUACAAUGAGCGUAAGCUUGAUAAAGUAAUAUUUCUUAAAGGAUGACAGUAUAUUUUUAUAUUGUAAACUUUAUAUUUUAUUUUUAAAUAUUGAUAAAAAUAAAACAUUAGUAUUUGCUAAUUUCUGUGCCAGCAGCAGCGGUAAUACAGAAAAUACAAGCGUUAUUCACUUUAUUUGGCGUAAAGCGUUUUAAGGUUUUAUAUUAAUUUUAUUUUAAAAUAUUUAAUUUAAAUUUGAAUAAAAAAUAAAUAAUAAUAUAAUAAGAGUAUUAUAAAAGUAUUAAGAAUUUUUUGAGAAGUAGUGAAAUGCAAUGAUACAAAAAAGAAUACCAAAGGCGAAGGCAUAAUACUAUAUAAUAACUGACACUUAUAAACGAAAGCUAAGGUAGCAAAUAGGAUUAGAUACCCUAGUAGUCUUAGCUGUAAACUAUGAAUAUUUUAUAUUUAUAUAUUAAUAUAAAUAUAAUAACUAACGUAAUAAAUAUUCCGCCUGAGUAGUAUAUUCGCAAGAACGAAAUUCAAAGGAAUUGACGGGAGCUUAUACAAGUGGUGGAACAUGUGGCUUAAUUCGAUGCAACACGAUAAACCUUACCAAAAUUUAACAAUAUUUUUAUUAUUAAGGA